UCAAGACGGGGUUUCUCUGUAUAACCCUGGCUGUCCUGGAACUCACUUUGUAGACCAGGCUAGCCUCGAACUCAGAAAUCUGCCUGCCUCUGCCUCCCAAGUGCUGGGAUUAAAGGCAUGCACCACUACUGCCCGGCUGAGACAUUUCUGGGUUAAAAACUUUGAAAUAGGUGGGUGGCUCCAUCCUUAGACUGGAGGCCAUGCCAAUCUACUGGAGGUGGUCUCUACAGGUUCUAUCCCUCCUUUGCUUCUCAUUUCAGCUAACGUCAUCCCUUUUGGGUCUAAAGUUGUCCCCAUUGUGUCCUGGGAGCCUUUUGCUUCCCUGGCUUCUGGGACUCUCCAGUGGCUACCCCAGUUCCUCAUCCCCCACUGGUACAUAAUAUUAUUCAAUUUCCUGAUCUUCUGUAAUUCUCUCCUGUCCCCUCCAAUACCUCAUCCUGCCCUCUCCCCUUUCCUUCCCCCUUAUCUCUACCUCCCAGGUUCCUAUUCCUUCUACGGAUUUGAACCAUCUUGUUCCCUUUUCUAUGCAGGACUGAAGCAUCCACACCCUUGUUUUCCAUUCCCCUAAGUACCAUAUGGUCUGUGUGUAAAAAACGGGUUACAGAGCUAAACAAAGAUUUCUCAACUGUGUAAUCUAGAAUGGCCAAGAAGCACCUAAAGAAGUGUUCAAAUUCUUUGGUCAUCAGGGAAAUGCAAAGCAAAACAACUCUGAGAUUCCACCUUACAACAAUUGCUGCAGGCCCUCUGGUCCCCUGUGCCUGCGUAGGAAAGAGUCUCUAGAGUAGAUGAGCAAAGAUUAGGAUGUAUUGACAAGCAGUCAAACACACAAGAGA
rnacentral:lncRNA from 1 species